AGUCUCAGUCAUCACCGAAUAUUGCUGCCAAAUUUUUAAAGCAUC
rnacentral:sRNA from 1 species